CAGUCGCCGCGGUAAUACAGAGGGUGCGAGCGUUAAUCGGAUUUACUGGGCGUAAAGCGUGCGUAGGCGGCUAAUUGAGUCGGAUGUGAAAUCCCCGAGCUUAACUUGGGAAUUGCAUUCGAUACUGGUUAGCUAGAGUGUGGGAGAGGAUGGUAGAAUUCCAGGUGUAGCGGUGAAAUGCGUAGAGAUCUGGAGGAAUACCGAUGGCGAAGGCGGCCCCCUGGACAAAGACUGACGCUCAGGUGCGAAAGCGUGGGGAGCAAACAGGAUUAGAUACCCGCGUAGUCCCUGUCUCUUAUAC
rnacentral:rRNA from 1 species